UCAGAGAAGAAUUUUGACUGUAUUUGAGGAAUAAGCAUCGGCUAACCCUGUGCCAGCAGCCGCGGUAAUACAGGGGAUGCAAGCGUUAUCCGGAAUGAUUGGGCGUAAAGCGUCUGUAGGUGGUUUAUCCAGUCUUCUGUCAAAGAUCAGGGCUUAACCCUGGGCAGGCAGAAGAAACUAGUAGACUAGAGUUCGGUAGGGGCAGAGGGAAUUCCCGGUGGAGCGGUGAAAUGCGUAGAUAUCGG
rnacentral:rRNA from 1 species